rnacentral:rRNA from 1 species
UACGUAGGUGGCAAGCGUUAUCCGGAAUUAUUGGGCGUAAAGCGCGCGUAGGCGGUUUUUUAAGUCUGAUGUGAAAGCCCACGGCUCAACCGUGGAGGGUCAUUGGAGACUGGAAAACUUGAGUGCAGAAGAGGAAAGUGGAAUUCCAUGUGUAGCGGUGAAAUGCGCAGAGAUAUGGAGGAACACCAGUGGCGAAGGCGACUUUCUGNGUCUGUAACUGACGCUGAUGUGCGAAAGCGUGGGGAUCAAACAGGAUUAGAU